rfam:Oryza glaberrima chromosome 6 Oglab06_0220_5, whole genome shotgun sequence.
AAUAUACGUAGUUAUGGGUUUCAGUGCUUAACUCUGAUCAUCUGUUUUAUUUGAAAUAUUUUUAUAAUUAGUAUUUUUAUUGUUAUUAAAUGAUAAAAUAUGAAUAUUACUUAAUGCGUGACUUAACUUUUAAAAUUUUUUUAUAAAAUAUUCAAAUAAGACGGACAGUUAAACGUUGGACACGGAAAAUUAUGGCUACACUUAUA